GAACUCCAUUCGCAAGUGACAUUAGCUUUGCGCAUGCUUAAAGCAACCUAUGCGCUGGCACGUCGCGAGUCACACGAAGGACGCAGACAUUACGGCGCUGCCCAGAAUUUUUAUCUUCUUAUUAUCUCGCAACAUAUUUAACCACGUGAUUAGGAAACCCAUUGAAAAAAACUUUUAUGCUUUAAUCUUUUUUUCUCCACAACUACUGAUUUUCGCUUCAAAAUAAUUUUCAUGGCCUGAUGGCUAAAGUGUUCGACUCGUUAUUUGUGGGGCACGGAUUCAAAUCCCAUUACCAAACAUAUUUGCCCUUUCAUCCGUGAGGACGCAAAAAUUCGAUUAGAGUAGCCCAAGUGUUGGCGCUCCAAAGUUGAUGGGCUUGCUUCUUUCAUAAUCUACACGUGUUAGUGUAUAUUGAGAAAAAUAUAACAAAUUAAGUAAAGAUAUGGCUUUAUACCCGUUAAAGGUAUAGAAAGGUUGAGUGAGUUGGAAGCAAAACAUUCGAGUAUAAGUCUUGUUAAUUAUCUGCAAUUUUUUUACUUUAAACAGUUAUAUUUGCCAAGCUCUCCAAUUUUCGUUAUUCUGUUCAAAGUUUCCCACAGUUGGCAGAUUUCUAGAUACUAUUAACGCAUAAUGUCGAUAGAACUACAUGAGCCACGUGUAUGUAUAUGUUUUAUAUUUGUUUUUAUCUUUAAUUAAAAUAAUUUAUGGAA